GAGUUUUUAUUAAUCAAAUUCAAAUAUUAUAAACUCUAAUUGAAAUUCGCGUUUUCGAAAUCUGCCUUCAUUGUUGUUUGAUUUCAUUACAGAUCUCAGAUCUCAAUUGUUGUCGAUUAAUAUUAGUUCUGCAACCACAAACGGGUGGACCUUUUUUUCGUUUACCAAGUGCUUUGAUGGUGCCUAGAUCAUUGGAAGCGGAGGAUCUGGGAUGGUGGUGCAAGAGAUAGAGAUGACCAGCUCAAACAUUUCUUCAGACAAGCAUCCAACGUUUCGAGUUAAAAUGUUGGGGAUUUGGGAAGGCGUAUAAUUGGAUUCGGGAAAGUGUACAUAGACCGCCUUACAAAUGUCGUAAGAUCAGAAUCUCACUGGACAAAAUGUAUGUGAUCAACUAUAUUAAGUAAAUGUCAGCACGUUGUACUGUAGGCUAGACUAUCUUCAUAGUUUGACUUUCAAUGCAAUAUUAUACAUUGUGUAUACGGAAAGCCUAACAUUUU
rnacentral:lncRNA from 1 species